rnacentral:rRNA from 1 species
UACGUAGGGUGCGAGCGUUUAAUCGGAAUUACUGGGCGUAAAGCGUGCGCAGGCGGUGAUGUAAGACAGGUGUGAAAUCCCGGGCUUAACCUGGGAACUGCAUUUGUGACUGCAUCGCUGGAGUGCGGCAGAGGGGAUGGAAUUCCGGCGUGUAGCAGUGAAAUGCGUAGAUAUGCGGAGGAACACCGAUGGCGAAGGCAAUCCCUGGGCCUGCACUGACGCUCAUGCACGAAAGCGUGGGGAGCAAACAGG